rnacentral:rRNA from 1 species
CGGAGGGUGCAAGCGUUAAUCGGAAUCACUGGGCGUAAAGCGCACGUAGGCGGCCCGGUAAGUCAGGGUGAAAUCCCACAGCCCAACUGUGGAACUGCCCUUGAUACUGCCUGGCUUGAGUACCGGAGAGGGUGGCGGAAUUCCAGGUGUAGGAGUGAAAUCCGUAGAUAUCUGGAGGAACACCGGUGGCGAAGGCGGCCACCUGGACGGUAACUGACGCUGAGGUGCGAAAGCGUGGGUAGCAAACAGGAUU